AUUGAACGCUGGCGGCAGGCUUAACACAUGCAAGUCGAGCGGAGAGAGGUAGCUUGCUACUGAUCUUAGCGGCGGACGGGUGAGUAACGCUUAGGAAUCUGCCUAUUAGUGGGGGACAACAUUUCGAAAGGAAUGCUAAUACCGCAUACGUCCUACGGGAGAAAGCAGGGGAUCUUCGGACCUUGCGCUAAUAGAUGAGCCUAAGUCGGAUUAGCUAGUUGGUGGGGUAAAGGCCUACCAAGGCGACGAUCUGUAGCGGGUCUGAGGGGGUGCGACGCCACACUGGGACUGAGACACGGCGCAGACUCCUACGGGAGGCAGCAGUGGGGAAUAUUGGACAAUGGGCGAAAGCCUGAUCCAGCCAUGCCGCGUGUGUGAAGAAGGUCUUCGGAUUGUAAAGCACUUUAAGUUGGGAGGAAGGGCAGUAAGUUAAUACCUUGCUGUUUUGACGUUACCGACAGAAUAAGCACCGGCUAACUCUGUGCCAGCAGCCGCCGUAAAAC
rnacentral:rRNA from 1 species